CGUGCCUUUGAUUUGGAGAAAGAACUGAUUGUCAAAGAGGAAAUCAUUUCUCGUGAGGUUUAUCUCCAGCAAGCGAAGAAGUUAGUCGUCAGGGCGCGUGACGUCAGGACGCAGGUUAAAAGCAUCACGCACGGCGCGCAUGCCCCCAGCAAUGUCUAUAUUAGUGUACAGACUGCCAACGUCCAUAGUGAAUAAGAAAGCGUGCGCAGGGAUCCGAAGAGCACGGACCUUGGUGACGAAAUCAUAAGUGUCUUUUACGUAGCUCGCGUGUGAGAUAGAAAGAGGGUAAAGAUAGUGAUCCGGGUACUCAGCCGUAUGCCGAAAGCCAGGACCAGUUUGCGGACCUUGGGGUUGAUGGUGGUCUUGGCCAUCACCGCGGAGACAUGACGGAACGACGCGCCAGGAUAACCAUCGAUCUGGAGACCAGGUCACCAGCAGGUGGAGCCCGGAGGAUCGUGGUGUCUGCACCAACCGGAGCCGCCAGCAGGGGCUGCUAAGUCGCCUUAAACCGGGUGGUGUUAAAAGCAGAGAUGACGGCCGUAAUAGAAAUAAUUAAAAACACAAUAAAAUAAUACCGUUGUAUCGAAUUAUUGCAGUGUGGGGGUCAAGGUGAUACAAUCCAAGGGUAAAAAAAUAUACAAAAACAUAAAAGGCAAACUGUACAUUAAUGCGACCGUGAUGCGGGUUCAUACAUUAAAAACAUCGAUUUUUACAUGUAUAUAUGCAUUUGAAAAAAUGUAUAUAAACAUAAAAG